rnacentral:rRNA from 1 species
CAAAUAUGAAGGCGGGCUGGAACCUCUCGGGGUUACAGCCUUGCUGAAUUAUUCACCCUUGUCUUUUGCGUACUUCUUGUUUCCUUGGUGGGUUCGCCCACCACUAGGACAAACAUAAACCUUUUGUAAUUGCAAUCAGCGUCAGUAACAAAUUAAUAAUUACAACUUUCAACAACGGAUCUCUUGGUUCUGGCAUCGAUGAAGAACGCAGCGAAAUGCGAUAAGUAGUGUGAAUUGCAGAAUUCAGUGAAUCAUCGAAUCUUUGAACGCACAUUGCGCCCUUUGGUAUUCCAAAGGGCAUGCCUGUUCGAGCGUCAUUUGUACCCUCAAGCUUUGCUUGGUGUUGGGCGUCUUGUCUCUAGCUUUGCUGGAGACUCGCCUUAAAGUAAUUGGCAGCCGGCCUACUGGUUUCGGAGCGCAGCACAAGUCGCACUCUCUAUCAGCAAAGGUCUAGCAUCCAUUAAGCCUUUUUUUCAACUUUUGACCUCGGAUCAGGUAGGGAUACCCGCUGAACUUAAGCAUAUCAAAAGCCCGGAGGAAA